rnacentral:tRNA from 1 species
GCCGGCCCAUAAACCUAGAAUCAAAACCUUGAGGUCACAGGUUCAAAUCCUGUCUCCGCACCA